rnacentral:misc_RNA from 1 species
AGCAGCCGCGGUAAUUCCAGCUCCAAUAGCGUAUAUUAAAGUUGUUGCAGUUAAAAAGCUCGUAGUUGAAUUUCGGGAUCAAGGAAUCGGUCAUGCCUCGGUAUGUACUGGUUUUAUUGGUUCUCACCUUCUAAAGAACCAUGAUGUCAUUCAUUUGAUGUUAUGGGGAAUUAGGACUGUUACCUUGAAAAAAUUAGAGUGUUUAAAGCAAGCUUACGCUUGAAUACAUUAGCAUGGAAUAAUGAAAUAGGACAUCCGAUUCUAUUUUGUUGGUUUCUAGGAUCGAUGUAAUGAUUAAUAGGGAUAGUUGGGGGCAUUAGUAUUCAAUUGUCAGAGGUGAAAUUCUUGGAUUUAUUGAAGACUAACUACUGCGAAAGCAUCUGCCAAGGAUGUUUUCAUUAAUCAAGAACGAAAGUUAGGGGAUCGAAGACGAUCAGAUACCGUCGUAGUCUUAACCAUAAACUAUGCCGACUAGGGAUCGGAUGAUGUUUAUUUUUUAGUGA